GCUACAAUGGGUAGUACAGAGGGUUGCCAAGCCGUAAGGUGGAGCUAAUCCCUUAAAGCUAUUCUCAGUUCGGAUUGUAGGCUGAAACUCGCCUACAUGAAGCUGGAGUUAAUAGUAAUCGCAGAUCAGAAUGCUGCGGUGAAUGCGUUCCCGGGUCUUGUACACACCGCCCGUCACACCACGGGAGUUGGAGACGCCCGAAGCCGAUUAUCUAACCUUUUGGAAGCAGUGCGA
rnacentral:rRNA from 1 species